rnacentral:ncRNA from 2 species
UUCUUAUCCAGAGAGGUGGAGGGUCUGGCCCGAUGAAGCCCGGCAACCGUUGCGUAGUGCGACAAGGUGCCAAUUCCUGCGGGGCGUUUUCGUUCCGAAAGAUAAGAA